rnacentral:rRNA from 1 species
CCCCGGGCUCAACCUGGGAACUGCGUUNUGAACUGGGUGACUAGAGUGUGUCAGAGGGAGGUAGAAUUCCACGUGUAGCAGUGAAAUGCGUAGAGAUGUGGAGGAAUACCGAUGGCGAAGGCAGCCUCCUGGGAUAACACUGACGUUCAUGCCCGAAAGCGUGGGUAGCAAACAGGAUUAGAUACCCUGGUAGUCCACGCCCUAAACGAUGUCGAUUAGCUGUUGGGCAGCAUGACUGCUUAGUAGCGAAGCUAACGCGUGAAAUCGACCGCCUGGGGAGUACGGUCGCAAGAUUAAAACUCAAAGGAAUUGACGGGGACCCGCACAAGCGGUGGAUGAUGUGGAUUAAUUCGAUGCAACGCGAAGAACCUUACCUGGUCUUGACAUGUACGGAACCCUUCAGAGACGGAGGGGUGCCUUCGGGAGCCGUAACACAGGUGCUGCAUGGCUGUCGUCAGCUCGUGUCGUGAGAUGUUGGGUUAAGUCCCGCAACGAGCGCAACCCUUGUCAUUAGUUGCCAUCAUUAAGUUGGGCACUCUAAUGAGACUGCCGGUGACAAGCCGGAGGAAGGUGGGGAUGACGUCAAGUCCUCAUGGCCCUUAUGACCAGGGCUUCACACGUCAUACAAUGGUCGGUACAGAGGGUAGCCAAGCCGCGAGGCGGAGCCAAUCUCACAAAACCGAUCGUAGUCCGGAUUGCACUCUGCAACUCGAGUGCAUGAAGUCGGAAUCGCUAGUAAUCGCAGGUCAGCAUACUGCGGUGAAUACGUUCCCGGGUCUUGUACACACCGCCCGUCACACCAUGGGAGUGGGGGAUACCAGAAGUAGGUAGGGUAACCGCAAGGAGC